AUUGAACGCUGGCGGCAGGCUUAACACAUGCAAGUCGAGCGGGGUGAGGUACUUCGGUACUGAUCCUAGCGGCGGACGGGUGAGUAAUGCUUAGGAAUCUGCCAUUUAGUGGGGGACAACAUUCCGAAAGGGGUGCUAAUACCGCAUACGUCCUACGGGAGAAAGCAGGGGAUCUUCGGACCUUGCGCUAAAUGAUGAGCCUAAGUCGGAUUAGCUAGUUGGUAGGGUAAAGGCCUACCAAGGCGACGAUCUGUAGCGGGUCUGAGAGGAUGAUCCGCCACACUGGGACUGAGACACGGACCAGACUCCUACGGGAGGCAGCAGUGGGGAAUAUUGGACAAUGGGCGGAAGCCUGAUCCAGCCAUGCCGCGUGGGUGAAGAAGGCCUUUUGGUUGUAAAGCACUUUAAGCGAGGAGGAGGCUACCUGGAUUAAUACUCUAGGAUAGUGGACGUUACUCGCAGAAUAAGCACCGGCUAACUCUGUGCCAGCAGCCGCAGUAACAC
rnacentral:rRNA from 1 species